rnacentral:rRNA from 1 species
UACGAAGGGGGCUAGCGUUGCUCGGAAUCACUGGGCGUAAAGCGCACGUAGGCGGACUCUUAAGUCGGUGGUGAAAUCCUGGAGCUCAACUCCAGAACUGCCUUCGAUACUGAGAGUCUCGAGUCCGGGAGAGGUGAGUGGAACUGCGAGUGUAGAGGUGAAAUUCGUAGAUAUUCGCAAGAACACCAGUGGCGAAAGGCGGCUCACUGGCCCGGUACUGACGCUGAGGUGCGAAAGCGUGGGGAGCAAACAGG